GAGGAAUAUUGGUCAAUGGACGAGAGUCUGAACCAGCCAAGUAGCGUGAAGGAUGACUGCCCUAUGGGUUGUAAACUUCUUUUAUACGGGAAUAAAGUGAGGCACGUGUGCCUUUUUGUAUGUACCGUAUGAAUAAGGAUCGGCUAACUCCGUGCCAGCAGCCGCGGUAAUACGGAGGAUCCGAGCGUUAUCCGGAUUUAUUGGGUUUAAAGGGAGCGUAGGCGGACGCUUAAGUCAGUUGUGAAAGUUUGCGGCUCAACCGUAAAAUUGCAGUUGAUACUGGGUGUCUUGAGUACAGUAGAGGCAGGCGGAAUUCGUGGUGUAGCGGUGAAAUGCUUAGAUAUCACGAAGAACUCCGAUUGCGAAGGCAGCUUGCUGGACUGUAACUGACGCUGAUGCUCGAAAGUGUGGGUAUCAAACAGGAUUAGAUACCCUGGUAGUCCACACAGUAAACGAUGAAUACUCGCUGUUUGCGAUAUACAGUAAGCGGCCAAGCGAAAGCGUUAAGUAUUCCACCUGGGGAGUACGCCGGCAACGGUGAAACUCAAAGGAAUUGACGGGGGCCCGCACAAGCGGAGGAACAUGUGGUUUAAUUCGAUGAUACGCGAGGAACCUUACCCGGGCUUGAAUUGCAACUGAAUGAUGUGGAGACAUGUCAGCCGCAAGGCAGUUGUGAAGGUGCUGCAUGGUUGUCGUCAGCUCGUGCCGUGAGGUGUCGGCUUAAGUGCCAUAACGAGCGCAACCCUUAUCGAUAGUUACCAUCAGGUUAUGCUGGGGACUCUGUCGAGACUGCCGUCGUAAGAUGUGAGGAAGGUGGGGAUGACGUCAAAUCAGCACGGCCCUUACGUCCGGGGCUACACACGUGUUACAAUGGGGGGUACAGAAGGCAGCUACCUGGUGACAGGAUGCUAAUCCCAAAAGCCUCUCUCAGUUCGGAUCGAAGUCUGCAACCCGACUUCGUGAAGCUGGAUUCGCUAGUAAUCGCGCAUCAGCCAUGGCGCGGUGAAUACGUUCCCG
rnacentral:rRNA from 1 species